UACGUAGGGGGCAAGCGUUGUCCGGAUUUAUUGGGCGUAAAGAGCUCGUAGGCGGUUUGUUGCGUCUAUCGUGAAAACCUGCAGCUUAACUGUGGGCUUGCGGUGGAUACGGGCAGACUUGAGUUCGGUAGGGGAGACUGGAAUUCCUGGUGUAGCGGUGAAAUGCGCAGAUAUCAGGAGGAACACCGGUGGCGAAGGCGG
rnacentral:rRNA from 1 species